CAGCAAAGAAAGAAGUAAAAGUACAUGCAUCUGUGGAAAAUCCGAAGUUAAAAGGACCUGAAAAGAAGGAAGCAAAAGCAACAAAGGCAACAGAGCAAGAUAAACCAAAGAUGAAACAAGGAAAUCCUGGAAAAGAGAAAGAAUUGAAAUCUCCAGCAGCUACAAAAGAUAAAGUACAUGCUAAAGAAAAGGAAGAAAAGAA